rnacentral:lncRNA from 1 species
UUACGGUUAGGCCACGCCCCCUACGUGAUGAGGGUGCGUGGGUGGGAUGGGCCCUCCCCCCUCCCCUCCCCUCCCCGGUAAAUACCCCAGGGGUAGACCAGACGUACCUACUACCUCCGUUCGAGAGCCACAAUCCAAUCAGUCAUCGAGGCCCCCAGAGCGCAUGCGCACACCCGCGCCAGCGCCACCACCUGGCUCCGCGUGACGUAAAUGAAAGAAAAUCUCCCGACACAAGUGGAUUAGUGGGAGUUGGGAGGGGACGGGCAUCAGGUCGGUCCCGCGCGCGCUUCUGCCUGCUUCCAGCCGCGUGGACGGUGAAGGUGAGACAGGUCCGCCGCUGCUGUCAGAACUUCAGAAGAAGAAGAAGAAGAAGAAGAAGAGGAAGAGGAGGAGGAAGAGGAGGAGGACAUGGACAGAAGGAAGCCCCAAAGAAAGUGAAGCUUCCCCGCCAGGAGCCGCAGGAUGGGGAUGGACCUCAGCGCCCUGCGGAGCCUCAUCAGCCGCAUCAACCGAUACGAAAAUCUUUUGUCUUUCUGUUGGAGUGAAUUCUCAGAAAUGAUGAUGUGGAGGACAAAAAAAAACAAGACAUCUGCAGGGAGAAGAGGAGUUAUCCAGAAGAUAGAGAAGCAUUUGUCCGUCUCCGUGGAGACCUGCGGAGGGGAUUUCAUUACUGUGGAAUGUGAAAUGCUCUCCAGACUGGCUGCUAAUGGAGGAGCAUAAAUGUCUGAUGAGCAGAGACCCGGCAGUCAGGCGCUCCGCACCGGCUGGAACUCUGGACCCCUGAAAGUGUGGGAGUUCAUGAACCCAAACAGGAAGUCCUCAAACCCAAACAGGAUUCACUUCUCUCAGGUUUCUUAAUGUUUUUAUACAGAUAUGUUGAAAAAAAACAAGUCCUCAUCAAACUGUCUUCCUGACAUUCACACUCACAUGACUGGAGCGUUAAGGCGGGGUCAUGUGGAGGGUCAUGUGACCGUCAGCGCCACUUGCACGUGGUUUUUUCUCACACCAACACAAUGAAGUGACAGCAGUAAGUUUAUACGGCCUGCAGGGAAUCCAGAACAAAGCUCCUCUGUUCUGCAGAAACGCCGUUUGUCUCUCCCUUUUCUUCACUUUCCAUACCGGCGUGUGAACUUCCAGCUCCGGGAAGCAGGAAAAAAAAAUGUGUAGUUUUUUGAUGUUCAAUUAAAAUAAAAACUUUUUUUUUUAAAAAACAUUUACCACCUCAAUCCCGUAUUUAUACUUUUUUUGUAAUCCUUUGAGGUCAAAUGAGGCAGAAUAAUCUCACCUAAACUGAGAAAAUGUACAUUAUUUCUGCCGAAUGAUCUUAAAUUAAGGAUUUUAAAAGAAAACAAUAAAGUUGGACUCAUCAAUGAUGAUUUUAUCUACAUAUUAAAGAGUUUUAUCUCAACAAAAUGGAC